UAGGGAAUCUUCGGCAAUGGACGAAAGUCUGACCGAGCAACGCCGCGUGAGUGAAGAAGGUUUUCGGAUCGUAAAACUCUGUUGUUAGAGAAGAACAAGGACGUUAGUAACUGAACGUCCCCUGACGGUAUCUAACCAGAAAGCCACGGCUAACUACGUGCCAGCAGCCGCGGUAAUACGUAGGUGGCAAGCGUUGUCCGGAUUUAUUGGGCGUAAAGCGAGCGCAGGCGGUUUCUUAAGUCUGAUGUGAAAUCCCCGGGCUCAACCUGGGAACUGCAUCUGAUACUGGCAAGCUUGAGUCUCGUAGAGGGGGGUAGAAUUCCAGGUGUAGCGGUGAAAUGCGUAGAGAUCUGGAGGAAUACCGGUGGCGAAGGCGGCCCCCUGGACGAAGACUGACGCUCAGGUGCGAAAGCGUGGGGAGCAAACAGG
rnacentral:rRNA from 1 species